GCCAGGCAUGGUGGUUCGUGCCUGUAAUCCCAGCUACUCGGGAGGCUGAGGCAGGAGAAUCGCUUGAAUCCAGGAGGCAAAGGUUGCAGUGAGCCGAGAUGGUGCCACUGCACUCUAGCCUGAGUAACAGAGUGAGACUCUGUCUCAA
rnacentral:sRNA from 1 species